CCCAUCACACGGUUGAUUACGUUAACUCAUGACAAUUUCUGUAAGCCUUUAACAAAACGAGUCAAAACCGGAACCGAGUCGACCUCCUCAACCUCCACUUCGGCUUCUUGUGUCAAACACGCGCACAGUUUCCCCUUUCCCAGCUAAGCGAUAGCGACGCUGUUAAAUUAAAUUUAGCGACAAACGAGUUGCUUUCUUGUCAUUCGAUAUGUAAAGACAGACCGCGAGGCGCGAGCACAUGUUACCGGCGGCGGAGGAUCACGGAGCCGGCGUCUACUCUGUCACUGAGGCAGGGACAAGCAGCACAUUCACUUCACAGUCGGUACGGCAGGUAACGCGUCGAUAAAUGAAAACGAAACAGCGUUUCCAAGAACCGGUGUCUUGUAUAUGUAUAUUGCUUGUUCCUCUCUUUUAAAAUGAAACAAUAAUUUAAGUGUUUGGACAUGAACUUGAAAAUAUAAACGUAUUUGUCACCAAGACGGAGGCUGCGUGGAAGUGACUAUCGGUUAACAAACAUGUAUAUGUGUUAUAUGAAAUUAGAUGUGUUAUUGAGUCGUAUUUAGUUACUAUUUUUUAUUCAUUUCAUAAUAUUUUUGGGUUGUCUUCUGUGAUUUCAAAUUUAUAUUGACCAACCCUCUGAUCUGUGGCUGAUACUGUAACAGAGAUGUUAUGUUUUUAGCAGAGAUCAGAUGUGAUUUUGUUUUCCAAUUCUUUUUUUAGAGUGUGCAGAGUUUUAACGUCCAUCCAUUGAUGAGGCUAGCAAGACCUUCAUACAACUUCAGCCAAUUGCAACAAAUGUGGUGGAAUUUCUUCUCUGGACAGAAUCCUUGAAACCCUUUCCUUUCGUCCUAGCCAUGGGAAACAUGCAGCAGAUCUCUCAAUCUUUUUUCUCAAUCAGUCUCUCUGAAUACGGAAGUGACUUAAACUGCAAUUCGGCCAAGAUGGCGACGGCACGCACCGCCUACUUUAAGCUUCAAAAAUGCUCUUCACAAACCAAUGGGUGACGUCACAGACACUACUUGCAUAUUUUUUACAGUCUCUGGUUUAAAGGCAUUUUAAGUGCUUGAAAAUAAAUACCCCAGGCAAUGUG